GGGGGGGGGGGCAAGCGUUGUUCGGAAUUACUGGGCGUAAAGGGCGCGUAGGCUGUCCCGCAAGUCCUCCGUGAAAUCCCACAGCUCAACUGUGGAAUUGCGAGGGAAACUGCAGGACUUGAGUUCGGGAGAGGAGAGUGGAAUUCCCAGUGUAGCGGUGAAAUGCGUAGAUAUUGGGAGGAACACCGGUGGCGAAGGCGGCUCUCUGGACCGACACUGACGCUGAGGCGCGAAAGCUAGGGGAGCAAACGGGAUUAGAUACCCCGGUAGUCCUAGCCCUAAACGAUGAGCACUUGGUGUGGCGGGUAUCGACCCCUGCCGUGCCGAAGCUAACGCAUUAAGUGCUCCGCCUGGGGAGUACGGUCGCAAGGCUG
rnacentral:rRNA from 1 species